rnacentral:sRNA from 1 species
GCUGGGUGUGGCAGCGCAUGCCUGUAAUCCCAGUAGCUCAGGGGCCUGAGGCAGGAGGAUCAGGAGUCAAAGCCAGCCUCAGCAACAGCAAGGCGCUAAGCAACUCAGUGAGACCCUGUCUCUA